rnacentral:rRNA from 1 species
AGUAACGGCGAGUGAAGAGGGAAAAGCUCAAAUUUUAAAUCUGCCUUGUUUCAAGGUCGAGUUGUAAUUUGAAGAAGCGUUUUCUUGGGCUCGCGGCCGGUAGAAGUUCUUUGGAACAGGACAUCAUAGAGGGUGACAAUCCCGUCUGCGACCGGUCGUGUGUUCAUCUACGUUACGCUAUUCAAAGGGUCGAGUUGUUUGGGAUUGCAGCUCCAAAUGGGUGGUAAACAUCACCUAAGGCUAGAUAUUGGCGAGAGACCGAUAGCGAACAAGUACCGUGAGGGAAAGAUGAAAAGAACUUUGAAAAGAGAGUUAAACAGUACGUGAAAUUGUUGAAAGGGAAACGAUUGAAG